GACGGAGGAUGCAAGUGUUAUCCGGAAUCACUGGGCGUAAAGCGUCUGUAGGUGGUCAAAUAAGUCAACUGUUAAAUCUUGAGGCUCAACCUCAAAAUCGCAGUCGAAACUAUUAGACUAGAGUAUAGUAGGGGUAAAGGGAAUUUCCAGUGGAGCGGUGAAAUGCGCAGAGAUUGGAAAGAACACCGAUGGCGAAGGCACUUUACUGGGCUAUUACUAACACUCAGAGACGAAAGCUAGGGUAGCAAAUGGG
rnacentral:rRNA from 1 species